rnacentral:misc_RNA from 1 species
CACCACCAUGUGUAGACUGGUAGAGAUCUCUUCUAGAGAUAAGUUCGCCCUUGCCAACUUUCUUUGUAAAUAUGAUUUGCUUGUUUCUUUUUUUUUAAAGUGCAAUAAAAAAUAUAUAUUUGGUGGAAAAUACCAGCACGAGAGGCAAAAGGUUAACCUUUUUAUGUAAAUGUACUAAAAUAUUUAGUUUUUUAAGGCACAUUAUCCUGUUUGAGACAGCUGAAUUAUUUUAUUUGCUUAAAAAGCAAAUUGUAUUUACUGAUUGUAAUUACUGAACAAUAGGAUGAAAAUUGAAACUGUUGAAAUACCCACAAAUAAAACUAAAAAUAAGUUGUAAUAAAAUUACUUUUCUUUUUUAAAUAAAGUUUUGGUUGAAUCUAUUGUAAGAAAAAAAUAAAUUUAUUAUUUUAUCUUAACAUUUUAGGUAAUGAAAAAGGGAUAUCUACUUGACUAGUUACUAAAUGAACUGGUGGUAAAACUGAGUUGCCACAAUCACAUUUUCUUCCUGAGAUAAAGUCAAAUGAUCCUAAUUUAGAUCCACAUUUUCCACAAUGCAAUUUUCCCUUAGUCCAUUGUUCCUCUUCAACCUUUUGCUUUACCCAUGUUGGCAAUUUGUCUUCAAGCAGGUAUAUGAAAUUUUUAUUACUGAAACUAGCACAUGAUUUUGAACAAAUUGAUUUGUAGGUAUCGUUCAUGUCUUCUAGAACGAUAUAGCGACAUUUAUGGCAUUUUACACCUCCUGCGCCACGAUUGUUGGACAUUUUAAAUAUAAUAAAUUUAAACACAGCUUUAUCACAAUCGAGGUUAUUUUCUUAGUAUUUAAUACCAAAUCUUUCCUAUUAGUUUAUACAUUGAAACUGUUAAACCGUUUUUAUUAAAAUUCAUAAGUUUUGUAAUAGGUACUUGUUUUAAAAAUUACCAAAAUUGUUGACAAAUUUUAAAUUUUAAAAACUAUAAAAGUCAUUUUUU